AUUUGAGUUAAGAAUCACAUAAAAAUUAACCAUACAUCAUUUUCUUGAGCAAAGGCAGAAGACUAAGUCAGAGUUAAGUUACCUUAAUAUUGAGAAAGGAGAAUUAAAGCAACACUGCAGGAGUCGAUUGCUCCCUGCCCACCUACAUCCCCUUUAAAGGGAAACUGUGCUGGCCACAGCUCCCGUGGCAACCAUGUUCUGUAUGAAGAGAUUCCACUUCCAACCACUGACUGGAUCAGGAAUGAGCAGCUUACCCAAAUGCAGACCAUCCAUUGGCCUUCCAGGUGAUCUCUCACCAGCCCAGUAAUAGGAACAAGCUAGGUGAAACAAACCUCAAGAAUCUGAUUGGAAACCCUGGAGAAAUGCAACUAGUGAGCAGCGGGAAUUGAAACCUAAGGGUCCUGAGGAACUGCGGAACAUGAAAUCCACUGUCAGCCACUAUAUCAUUCAGAGACCCAGCAGGAAACAGAAGACACAGAUGGUUCAAAGGAAGAGACUUUAAUCAACGACUAUUUGAAGAACUACAGGCAGGGUUAAGAGAACAAACAAAGGAUGCUCAUUAAAGUCCUGAAAUUUUAACAACCGGCUCUCAUCAACCAGCUCCAGCACAUCACUGACUGCCCAUUUUACCAAUAAGAAAACUAAAGCUCAGAGAGAUUGUCACUAACUAGCCCUGGUCACACAGGACAGAGCCACGCAGGUGGAUGGGAAACCUGACCAGGAAAGGAGGAAAGAAUAAACGGAAAGUGAACACGUACCUGACAGCCUGGUUCAGGAUCUGGCAGGAUGUGGUCCCUCCAGAGAUCUGGCUAAGUCAAGAUUCAACAACCAGCAAUUGGGUAACAACUGGAAGAAAUAAUAGAUCAUUCAUCGUUUUUUACAACAUCUGUAUUCAAUGUUCCUUUUCACACAUUUUCACCGUACUUAACGAAAACGUUAUUUAAGACUUAUCUUAGAGGUCAUAGAAAAGGCCAAGUAUUAAAAAUCAACUAAAGUUUCCAAGAGAGAAAAACAAAUUUAUCAACAGUAAGUCGUUCAGCUCUCAACACAGAUACAACUUGGCCCCAGGUCUGACCCAGUCCUCCUCUACCACAGCAUUUUCAAAUCUGCCGCCUCUGCCUUCAGCGACUGCUCACUGGCGGCGCCCUGUCGUGAUGCUACCACAAUCCAGCGUCACAUCUCGCUUUCCAGGAAGUGUGCGGCGACAUAUCACUAUAAUCAGCGUCCUAACGCCACAAGUCGUAAGGUCGCUCAGGAGCCAUCUUAAUUUACAUUGUGGAAUUCUUGUACAAAAGUGCUUCGAAGCGUCUCCGACAGAGAACGUUCCAGCAGAAAACGCUGCUUUUCGAGCGCCACAAGCUUCUACCGCGGCCGUCGCCAGCGCAGAGGACCGGCCCCCACCCGCUCGGGAAUGAAGCAGCGCUUGCG
rnacentral:lncRNA from 1 species